rnacentral:rRNA from 1 species
UACGUAGGGGGCAAGCGUUGUCCGGAAUUAUUGGGCGUAAAGAGCGUGUAGGCGGUCCGGUAAGUCAGCUGUGAAAGUCAAGGGCUCAACCCUUGAAUGCCGGUUGAUACUGUCGGGCUAGAGUCCGGAAGAGGCGAGUGGAAUUCCCGGUGUAGCGGUGAAAUGCGCAGAGUAUCGGGAGGAACACCCCAAUGGCGAAGGCAGGUCGUCUGGGCAUUAACUGACGCUGAGGAGCGAAAGCAUGGGGAGCGAACGAGG